ACCAGGCACAGUGGCAUAUGCCUGUAGUCCCAGCUACUCAGGAGGCUGAGUGGGAGGAUCACCUGAGCCCAGGAGUUUGAGACCAGCUUGAGCAACAGGGUGAGAUUCUAUGCACU
rnacentral:sRNA from 1 species